CUUUUUUUCAAAUCUGUCUUUACAAAAUAUUUGCACUCCAGUAAACAUUUUUAAUACCAAAUUGAAAAAUAUGAUUUACUGUAUAUUGACCAUGUGAAUUAGUCAUUCGACAUUAGUUCUGGGUGUAUUAUUCGAUGACCGACAGUGCGAGGGCUGUAUACAAAAACCUCCCAAUAAUGGGUGAAUUAAAUCCAAAUAAAUACAACGAAACAAGUACACAUAUAAACAGC
rnacentral:lncRNA from 1 species